UGUGGAAUAUGCCCCUUGAGGAAAACAAUUAGGACCCACUGUCCAGCAAGGAGGUUGCAGAAUCAGCAACUGACAUACUGACUGAUGAAACAUGAUGGUGCGUGCAGCACGAGAGGGUUUGACUGCAGAUCCCGACCACCUGCUUCUGUAAAUUUGUACUAACCACAGUCGAAAACAAGGAGAAACGUUUGAAUACCGGCGGCCUUCUAUCAGCUAGACAAGUCCCUGAAGCUAUAAAUCAAUAAACUUAUGUGUAUUGAUGACUGUCACGCUAACUUUGACGUAUUCUGCUUUGGAGGUAUAAAGCAAUGAAAUGUGGAUUCUUUUCGAUUAGUGCAUGUUUUUUUUUUUUCUUCAGAAAAUUUCUUGUGAGCUCGCAAAACCCGAGCGACAAAAGUAAAGGGCUGACAAUCCCUCUCUUUUUGGCUGCCCUCUGGGUUUCAUCUGUCCUGCUUAUGUGCAAAGUGCCAGCAGUUAUGGGGGAUCCACUCAGUAUGACCGCUCUACCCGUGGUCCACCGACCCAGGUGUCGCCUAACAAAGGGUAUGUGCCUCUUUUUUCUUUCGAUCUUCUUUCUGCGACUCAUUUCGGACUACUCGCUACGCGCAUGAUCGGCCCAGCCAAGUGUCGUCUAGCAAGAGAAGCGUGGC
rnacentral:lncRNA from 1 species